UCUCUCUCUCUCUCUCUCUCUCUCUCUCUCUCUCUCUCUCUCUCUCUCUCUCGCUCCCCUCUGUUGAGGCUCUCAAUGAACAUCUUUCAUUAUGUGACUCGAUGAAUUAUGAUAGCUAUGAGAUCUGAGGGCAAUGAAUUGAAAUUUUAUACCAAUUUCAUUGAUUAUGGUAUUUUUGUAUAUAGUUUUGAUUAAAAUUCAGUCCCUUGAAAUUCGUGUUGCAUAGUAAUUUGAUUUCUAGGUUUAGAUUUUAUUGUUUUUAUUGUGUUUUCAAAAUAGUAGAAUAUGUUGGAAAUAUACUGAUCCAUUUCUAGAAAUCAAAAUCUACUUUUAUAAAUUGUCAUGUGAGCUUUUGUUGUUAUUUGGGUCUUGUUCAUUGAUGGAAAGCUUAUAUUGUUCAGAGGAAAAAGCGUUUGGUGAAUUGGCUGACUAACACUAUUCUUGCGCGGUCUCUUUGCAAAAUAUAUCUCAAAGAUGUAUUUUGGAUCCAAAAUUUUAGUGUUCAACAAUCUCAAGAAUGACAAUGAUCUAAAAUUGAAAAUUUUCUUUUUCAAAAAAUAUAAAUGUUAUUUUUUGAAUUCCUUUCUUCCCGUCUCUUUUUAACUUUUAGUGGAUGUAACAUUUUCCUCUCUUGCGCAUUCAUCUCUCUCUUUCCCUCUCUCUUGUUUUCAUUUAGGUGAAUUAUUAUAGCUAUGAGAUCUGUAGCACAAAUAAAAUGAAAUUCAGACUUAUUGCACACUUUGUUGCUGAAGUAAUUUAUUGGAAUAUUUCACCGUAAAAUACUUGUUUUUUGGAGUAUUAUAUCAUGAAGAUAUCGGCUCUAGAUUGAUUUGAAAAUCUUAUACCUUGUUUAAAAUUCUUAAACAUUUAUGUUUUUGAAGAAAAGUUGCAGAAGCUGAUCCUGCUUGAAAUCAGCUCAAAACCAGUGGAUUACUAAGCACAGAUUUACAGUUUUUCCCAAUGAGAUUAGAGUUUUUGGGACAACGGCGAAUUCAGUAAUUGGAACAAGCGGUGUUACUUUAAGUGAUAUUAGGGAUAAUAAGGUAUCUAGAAAGAAGUUGACAAGGAGGGAUUGGUAUAUUCUUUUAACUUUGAUUAUUGAUUGCAGGUUAGAACAAUUGGUGUAUGCUCUAUUUUUCCCUUUUUUUAGUAGAGUUUUUAGUUUGGUACUUGUAUUUUUUAAUAUAAGCAAAAUGUGAAGUACCUUUCUUUGUUUUUUUGUGACUUUGAAACCUAGGGUGGUUUUGCACAAAUGUCAGCCAUUGAAGAUUUAAAGGUCACUGUCAGUUCAGAAUUAUACUGAAAAGAUGAAAAUGUGAUGCAUAAACGAAAAUCCUUACAAACUCUAUAAUCUAAUUGAUUGAUAACUUUCCAAAGUUCAUGGUUGCUUUCAACUUAGAUUGCUUUGAUGAAUGAGUGCCUGUGGUGUCGGAAAAUAUGGAUGUCUUAAGAGUUUAGAUUCUUUGAUCUUAAAAAUCCACCGUUUUUAGAAUGAUAUCAAUGGUCAAGUUUUCACGAAGUAGUUCAUAACUUUUUAUGUUAAGUUUCGUUAGAAAUUUGUAAAAUUAAAUGAGAGAAACAAAUUAAAGCACAAUCUUUUUUAAUAAAUAUUAUGGAGCUGCAAGAAGGUUUUCCUCAAAGCAUCUAAAAUCAGAUUGGGAAGAAAGAAACACAUUUUAGAACAUUUCUUUAUUAAAUAAUUUGAAAAAUUAAGUUGCGGCGUGAUUAAUAGCACUAGUACAAUAGUCCAUCAGUAACUCAAACACGCUGAGUCAAGAUCGGUAGUGCAAUGUUGGUUAAUCUGUAAUGGUACUUGAUCAAGGAAGUCCCUUUGUAAUUUUGUGAAAGGGGAAAAAGGAAAACAGUAAAGACAUACAUUUGAUUAAAUUAUUUUCUCAAACAAUUUUCCAUUUGAUUUGAUUAAUUUCUCAAACAAUAUUUUAAACAGUGUAAACCAGAAAGGUACAUUCAUCACUAGAAAUGUGCAGGCAAAGGGGGUGGUGGCAUGGCACAACCUACUUCUCCUUCCUGCCAAAGCUCUCUCUUUGGUCGGUGAUUUUGAAUGUUUGGGAGAGGAUCAAUGAGGAGGAGGCAGAGGCAUACUCAGAGACGGUUGCAUCAGUGGAACCCCUGCUGUAGCAGACGCAUCUACCAGGGAUUGUAUAAUAAGUUGGAUGAACCUCUUGCACCCAUCGAGUCUCGUUACAUCGGCAGGGAGGAUGAGUACCUCGGGUGAGCUGUUGCUGCGUGUUUUCUCUGCAACUUCUCGAAGGUGUUGCUCCCUCGUUGCUACAAGAACCAGACAUGCGCCUCUUUUUGCAUAUUGAUACGCCAUAUGCUGCAUAUUAUUACACAACAUCAAGUUUCACAUCAAUUUAUCAGGGAAACCAAGUAAAAUGAUACUGGGCCCUCUCUCUCUCUCUACAUAUGCUGCUUUUUACCCACCACCAAACCUUUCUCAAAAAGUACAAUACAAGAAUGCUAGAUACAGUUGCCCAAAGUGCUCUCUGUUUCACCGCCCCAAUGCUGGAGGAAGCACCAGUUAUGAGAACGACCUUCCGCCUCACAUCCUCAGUCUUGGGUGUGCGAAAGAGAGAGUGAGAGGUUGAAAAGAGCAAAGAUAGGGAAGAUGAGAGUGAGGAAGAAAAGAGUAAUGGGAGGAAACAUCAGGUUCAUGAAUCUAGUGACCAAGUCCAUGCUUCUCCAACCCUCCAAAUCCUUUACCUUUACACAAAGAGACUUCUUCAGGCUCUCUCUAAAAAUAUGAAAAAUCACUUUGAGAACUCUCCAUUGAUAUGGGGUUUAAAUAGGAAGAAAAUGGGCAUAGAGAAUGGAGCUGUACCCCUGCCCUCUCUCUUUAAAUUGCAAGAAUCACUGUACAGCUAUAAAUCAAUUAACAAGUGAGAAGGACUAGAGAUGUAUUGGAGCU